UAGGGAAUCUUCCACAAUGGACGCAAGUCUGAUGGAGCAACGGCCGCGUGAGUGAAGAAGGUUUUCGGACCGUAAAGCUCUGUUGUUGGUGAAGAAGGAUAGAGGUAGUAACUGGCCUUUAUUUGACGGUAAUCAACCAGAAAGUCACGGCUAACUACGUGCCAGCAGCCGCGGUAAUACGUAGGUGGCAAGCGUUGUCCGGAUUUAUUGGGCGUAAAGCGAGCGCAGGCGGAAGAAUAAGUCUGAUGUGAAAGCCCUCGGCUUAACCGAGGAAUUGCAUCGGAAACUGUUUUUCUUGAGUGCAG
rnacentral:rRNA from 1 species